rnacentral:rRNA from 1 species
AUCUGGUUGAUCCUGCCAGUAAUCAUAUGCUUGUCUCAAAGAUUAAGCCAUGCACGUCUAAGUACAAGCCGGCCCGCCGGCGAAACUGCGAACGGCUCAUUAAAUCGGUUACGACUCUACAGGAGUCAGACAAUCCCAAGUGGAUAACGUGCGGUAACUCCGGUGCUAAUACAUGCAACUAUGCUCCGACUCGCGAGGGGAAGAGCGCACUUAUUAGACGAAAGCCGUUCGGCCUCGCGCCGUUUGGUGGACGACACCCGAGUAAUUUGACCGCCGAUCGCACGGCCUCGAGCCGGCGACGCUUCUUCGAGUUUCUGAUCUAUCACGCUGACGACGGUUCGUGCUAUGCGAACCAGUGGCAUUGACGGAUAACAGAGAAUCUGGGUUCGAUUCUGGAGAGGCCGCCCGAGAAACGGCGACCACUUCUAAGGAAGGCAGCAGGCACGCAAAUUACCCACUUCCGACACGGAGAGGUAGUGACGAGAAAUAGCGAUACGGCGCUCGAAAGAGACGUCGUAAUCGCAAUGAGUACAGCUCAAAUCCUUGUUCGAGGAUCCACUGGAGGGCAAGCCUGGUGCCAGCAGCCGCGGUAAUUCCAGCUCCAGCAGCGUAUAUUGAUAUUGCUGCAGUUAAAAAGCUCGUAGUUGAAAUGUCAGACGCGGGAGAGCGGUCGAUCGUAUGGUCGUUCCGUUCCUACCGCGGCCAAGCGCAGCGGAUGCCGUCGCCUGCACUUAAUCGUGUGGGCGCGGCGCUGUUGCACCUUCACCUUGAGGAAAGUGAACCGCUCAAAGGAAGCUCUGCGCCCGAACAACAAAGCAUGGUAUGAUGGAACACGGGCGUCGCGCUCGUUUCGACGGUUUUAGAGAUUGCGAGCCAAUGAUUAAUAGUGACUGCCGGGGGCAUUCGUACUCGGACGGGAGAGGUGAAAUUCAAGGAUCGUCCGAAGACGCUCGACUGCGAAAGCAUUUGCCAAGAAUGUUUUCAUUAAUCAAGAACGAAAGUCAGAGGCGCGAAGGCGAUCAGAUACCGCCGUAGUUCUGACCGUAAACUAUGACGCCUGGCAAUGGGGUACUCGUACCUCAUUCGCCGCUCUCUGCGGCGACCCCGGGAAACCAAAGGCAUUGGUCUCCGGGGGGAGUAUGGUUGCAAAGCAGAAACUUAAAGGAAUUGACGGAAGGGCACCACCAGGAGUGGAGCCUGCGGCUUAAUUUGACUCAACACGGGAAACCUCACCCGGCCCGGACACUGUGACGACAGACAGGUUGAGAGCUCUUUCUCGAUUCAGUGGAUGGUGGUGCAUGGCCGUUCUUAGUUCGUGGAGCGAUCUGUCUGGUUAAUUCCGAUAACGAACGAGACUCUCGCCUGCUAAAUAGACGGCGCCGACACAGCACGGCGACCGACGGCUUCUUAGAGGGACUAGCGGCGUUCAGCCGCGCGAAGUCGAGAGCGAUAACAGGUCAGUGAUGCCCUUAGAUGUUCGGGGCCGCACGCGCGCUACACUGUCCGCAUCAACGAGACCAACCCGCGUCGAGAGACGUGGGCGACCCGAUGAACCGCGGACGUGCUAGGGAUCGGAGCUUGCAAUUGUUCUCCGUGAACGAGGAAUUCCUUGUACUCGCGAGUCAUCAGCUCGCGGGGAAUGCGUCCCUGCCCUUUGUACACACCGCCCGUCGCUACUACCGAUCGAACGGUUUGGUGAGGCUCGCGGACUGCUCGCGAUGCCCCUCGGGGAUUUUCGCGCGGCGGAAAGCGGAACGAACCUGACCGUUUAUAGGAAGUAAAAGUCGUAACAAGGUUUUCGUAGGUGAACCUGCGUAAGGAUCAUUG